rnacentral:lncRNA from 1 species
GACAGCAGAGUGACAGCAGGAACAUCAUCGGCAUGGCCACCAGGGGGCGCAGUGCUGCUGUGGGGACACAAAGGGACAUUGGGGACAUCAGAGUGACAGCAGGAACAUCAUCGGCAUGGCCACCAGGGGGCGCAGUGCUUCUGGGGGACAGAAAGGGACAUUGGGGACAUCAAUGGGGACAUCAGGGUGACAGCAGAGUGACAGCAGGAACAUCAUCGGCAUGGCCAGCAGGGGGCGCAGUGCUUCUGUGGGACACAAAGGGACAUUAGAGUGACAUUGGGGACAUCAAUGGGGACAGCAGAGUGACAGCAGAGUGACAGCAGAGUGACAGCAGGAACAUCAUCGGCAUGGCCACCAGGGGGCGCAGUGCUUCUGUGGGGACACAAGGGGACAUUGGGGACAUCACUGGGGACAUUGGGAACAUCAGAGUGACAUUGAGGACAUCAUUGGGAUAUCCCAGCACGGGGGCACAGUGCUUCUGUGGGACACAAGGGGACAUUGGGGACAUCAGGGUGACAGCAGAGUGACAGCAGGAACAUCAUCGCCAUGGCCAACAGGGGGCGAAGUGCUGCUGUGGGGUAGAGGGAUAUCAUCAGCAUGGCCAGCAGGGGGCGCAGUGCUGCUGUGGGGACACAAGGGGACAGCAAAGGGACAUUGGAGUGACAUUGGGGACAUCAGAGUGACAGCAGAGUGACAGCAGGAACAUCAUCGGCAUGGCCACCAGGGGGCGCAGUGCUGCUGUGGGGACACAAAGGGACAUUGGGGACAUCAGAGUGACAUUGAGGACAUCAUUGGGAUAUCCCAGCACGGGGGCACAGUGCUUCUGUGGGGACACAAAGGGACAUUAGAGUGACAUUGGGGACAUCAGAGUGACAUUGGGGACAUCAUUGGGGACACCAUCGGGGCAUUGGGGACACCAUCAGC